rnacentral:rRNA from 1 species
UCCGGAUUGGAGUCUGCAACUCGACUCCAUGAAGUCGGAAUCGCUAGUAAUCGUGGAUCAGAAUGCCACGGUGAAUACGUUCCCGGGCCUUGUACACACCGCCCGUCACACCAUGGGAGUGGGUUGCAAAAGAAGUAGGUAGCUUAACCUUCGGGAGGGCGCUUACCACUUUGUGAUUCAUGACUGGGGUGAAGUCGUAACAAGGUAACCGUAGGGGAACCUGCGGUUGGA